rnacentral:siRNA from 1 species
AUCCGUACCGGCCAUGCUUCCAC